rnacentral:rRNA from 1 species
GCUUACGGCCAUACCACCCUGAACGCGCCCGAUCUCGUCCGAUUCUCGGAAGCUAAGCAGGGUCGGGCCUGGUUAUACUUGGAUGGGAGACCGCCUGGGAAUACCAGGUGCUGUAAGCC